UACGAAGGGGGCUAGCGUUGCUCGGAAUUCCUGGGCGUAAAGCGCACGUAGGCGGCUUCUUAAGUCAGGGGUGAAAUCCUGGAGCUCAACUCCAGAACUGCCUUUGAUACUGAGGAGCUUGAGUCCGGGAGAGGUGAGUGGAACUGCGAGUGUAGAGGUGAAAUUCGUAGAUAUUCGCAAGAACACCAGUGGCGAAGGCGGCUCACUGGCCCGGUACUGACGCUGAGGUGCGAAAGCGUGGGGAGCAAACAGG
rnacentral:rRNA from 1 species